UCCGGUGUUGACAUGAAUAUCAAUUAUAUGGUCAUUUUUAUAAAUUUUCUGUUUACAAAACUUUUGAAUUUUUCGAAAAACUAAGGAUUUUCUUACCCCAGGAGUAGAUUACCUUAGCCGUAUUUGGCACAACUUUUGGGAAUUUUGGGUCCUCAAUGCUCUUCAACUUUGUAUUUGUUUGGCUUUUUAACUAUUUUGAUCUGAGCGUCACUGAUGAGUCUUAUG
rnacentral:lncRNA from 1 species